rnacentral:rRNA from 1 species
CCCGGCGACCGGCGCACGGGUGAGUAACACGUAUGAAACCUGCCCGUAGCAGGGGGAUAAGCGGAAGAAAUUCCGUCUAAUACCGCGUAACAACCCAUGGAGGCAUCUCUGUGGGUUUAAAGGAAGCGAUUCCGGCUACGGAUGGUCAUGCGUCGCAUUAGCUUGUUGGCGGGGUAACGGCCCACCAAGGCGACGAUGCGUAGGGGUUCUGAGAGGAAGGUCCCCCACACUGGUACUGAGACACGGACCAGACUCCUACGGGAGGCAGCA